rnacentral:lncRNA from 1 species
AACACCCCACAUUAAGGAAUGGUACAUUGCUAUCCAAAUAAGAGAGCUCAGAUAUAAUAACGCGCCUGAUGUGCUUCCGUACCUUUCUUGCCAUCAGUACAAAGUAAACCAAUCAUUGUUUGGUAUCAGCCAGUUAAUCCAAUGGUGAUCCUUUUUCAUGGCACACAGGUUGAAUAAUAACCACAUGAAUGCUUUAGACGCAUAUAGUUGUAUUAAGAUCUCAAAGAUAGCGAUAUCACAUGGUUACGACGUCAUUGGUAUGCCAUCAGUUUCAGAUUUUAGUCCAUUGAAUUAUUAAUCCUUCACAUCAUGCCAUGUUUGCAGGGAAGAAACACUUAACAACUUCGGAGAAAAAUUGGACCGUAAAACCGUGGUUCAUAACUGGUAUUUCCCUCACUCUGUUAUAUUGGGUUAGUUGCUGUCCCAAUUUACACUGGAGCUGUAGCUGUAAUAUCGGCUGCUGAGAUGAUUCCCAAAUUGUACAAAUCUGUUGAUCCGAAGAAUGUUUCUUGCACAGCAUUAUUGCCGGAAGAUUAUUUGGUCAAAACUGAAAAUGAACACUCUGCUGACUAGAGCAGAAGCAGGAUGAUUAUUUAUCACAGUAAUUAUUGAGUGAACUGUCGUGAAUGUCUAGAAAUUCAUAAAUAUUCAGUCCCAGUCGCAGAUGCUGGUGUGAAAAGCCGAAAACUGCUGUCUGCAAGUUAGCACUGAAUUCACUUAUUAAUACCAGUUUGUUCUGAUUCAGUUCCUUGUUCCAAUUAACAGAGCAGAUGGAAAUUUCCUGUUGAGAAAAUCUCUGGGUUGGUUUAAAGACUUCUGGAGUAACAUUUUAACAAAGUGGUUUGACUGUGAAACCUGAUUGGUCAAUUUUCUCCAUGCUUGAUCAUAAUGGAGGAUACCGAUAUGGGGUUAGGGAUGAUAUCACAAGUUGGAACAUUAGUCAAGAGUUCCUUUCAGCAUCCAAGACAUCUAUGUCCUACAGGAAGUG